rnacentral:rRNA from 1 species
ACGAACGCUGGCGGCGUGGAUAAGACAUGCAAGUCGAACGGGAGAAUUGCUAGCUUGCUAAUAAUUCUCUAGUGGCGCACGGGUGAGUAACACGUGAGUAACCUGCCUCUUAGUGGGGGAUAGCCCUGGGAAACCGGGAUUAAUACCGCAUACGAUUGAAAGAUCAAAGCAGCAAUGCGCUAGGAGAUGGGCUCGCGGCCUAUUAGUUAGUUGGUGAGGUAACGGCUCACCAAGGCGAUGACGGGUAGCCGGUCUGAGAGGAUGUCCGGCCACACUGGAACUGAGACACGGUCCAGACACCUACGGGUGGCAGCAGUCGAGAAUCAUUCACAAUGGGGGCAACCCUGAUGGUGCGACGCCGCGUGGGGGAAUGAGGGUCUUCGGAUUGUAAACCCCUGUCAUGUGGGAGCAAAUUAAAAAGAUAGUACCACAAGAGGAAGAGACGGCUAACUCUGUGCCAGCAGCCGCGGUAAUACAGAGGUCUCAAGCGUUGUUCGGAAUCACUGGGCGUAAAGCGUGCGUAGGCUGUUUCGUAAGUCGUGUGUGAAAGGCAGGGGCUCAACCCCUGGAUUGCACAUGAUACUGCGAGACUAGAGUAAUGGAGGGGGAACCGGAAUUCUCGGUGUAGCAGUGAAAUGCGUAGAUAUCGAGAGGAACACUCGUGGCGAAGGCGGGUUCCUGGACAUUAACUGACGCUGAGGCACGAAGGCCAGGGGAGCGAAAGGGAUUAGAUACCCCUGUAGUCCUGGCAGUAAACGGUGCACGCUUGGUGUGCGGGGAAUCGACCCCCUGCGUGCCGGAGCUAACGCGUUAAGCGUGCCGCCUGGGGAGUACGGUCGCAAGAUUAAAACUCAAAGAAAUUGACGGGGACCCGCACAAGCGGUGGAGUAUGUGGCUUAAUUCGAUGCAACGCGAAGAACCUUACCUGGGCUUGACAUGUAAUGAACAACAUGUGAAAGCAUGCGACUCUUCGGAGGCGUUACACAGGUGCUGCAUGGCCGUCGUCAGCUCGUGUCGUGAGAUGUUUGGUUAAGUCCAGCAACGAGCGCAACCCCUGUUGCCAGUUACCAGCACGUCAAGGUGGGGACUCUGGCGAGACUGCCCAGAUCAACUGGGAGGAAGGUGGGGACGACGUCAGGUCAGUAUGGCCCUUAUGCCCAGGGCUGCACACGUACUACAAUGCCCAGUACAGAGGGGGCCGAAGCCGCGAGGCGGAGGAAAUCCUGAAAACUGGGCCCAGUUCGGACUGUAGGCUGCAACCCGCCUACACGAAGCCGGAAUCGCUAGUAAUGGCGCAUCAGCUACGGCGCCGUGAAUACGUUCCCGGGUCUUGUACACACCGCCCGUCACAUCAUGGAAGCCGGUCGCACCCGAAGUAUCUGAAGCCAACCGCAAGGAGGCAGGGUCCUAAGGUGAGACUGGUAACUGGGAUG